rnacentral:sRNA from 1 species
UACAACAGUUCGUUGAAUGCGUACAAGC